UGCACACUUCAUUGACACUGCUUGGAAGUACCAAAAAAAAAUUAUUAGUUUCUCUUUAGUUCCAAAUCACAAAGGUGAUACCAUUGGCAUGAAAGUCGAGGACGUUUUGAGGGAAUGGGGGCUUAGGAAAGUGUCUACAAUUACCCUGGAUAACGCAACAGCAAAUGAUGUGGCUGUGAGUUAUUUGGAUAGAAGACUUAAGAGCAAGAAUGCUUUACUGGGUGUAGGUGAUUAUUUGCAUAUGAGGUGUGCUGCCCAUGUCUUGAACUUGGUAGUGAGAGAUGGUGAAAAAGAACAUGAAGGGUCUAUUGAAUCAGUUCGCACUGUUGUUAGGUUUGUAAGGUCUUCUCCACAAAGAGCUAUGAAGUUUAAGGAGUGUGUUGAACUUGCGGGCAUAACUUGUAAAAAAAAACUUUGUCUUGAUGUUUCUACAAGGUGGAAUUCCACUUACCUAAUGUUGGAUGCUGCUGAAAAGUUUGAAGCUGCAUUUGACAAUAUGAUUGAUGAGGAUCCUGGAUACAUCGAAUAUUUUGACCUCCUUACCGGUCCACCCGGUUCUCAGGAUUGGAAAAAAGUUAGGGCUUUUGUGGUUUCUUACAAACCUUCUAUGAGGCAACCAAAGUGUUUUCAACUUCGCAAGAAGUGUCCUUGCAUUUAGCUUUUCAUAACUUGUCUUCAAUUUUGUGUGAGCUUCAAGAAGCUUCAUUUAACUUGAAUUCUUAUGUGGCUCCAAUGAUUUCACAUAUGAAGGUUAAAUAUGAUAAGUAUUGGGGGGAUGUGGGAAAAGUGAAUCAUUUUCUUUACUAUGGAGUGAUCUUUGAUCCUAGGUUUAAGUUUAACUAUAUUGAGUGGUCUUUUAAUGAUAUGUAUGGGCAUUCUAGUGACCUUGCCAAGAAAAAUAUUGAAUGUGUCAAAACUAGUUUGUUUAAACUAUAUAAUUGGCAUAAAUCUGAUCAUGAUAAGAAUGUUGGGGCUAGUCCUUUAAGUGCACCAGGGAGCACUUCCCUUGGAGAAGCAUCUUCCCAACCAAAAGAACCAUCACCUUUUACAAGGGCUAAUGCUUUUAAGAAACAUCUGAAGGAAAAAGACACAAUUGAAAAUGAAAAUGAACUAGAGAAGUACUUAGGUGACCCUUGUUGCGGGGAGGGGGAAAAUUUUAGUAUUCUUAAUUGGUGGAAGGAAAAUUGCACCCGUUAUCCUAUAUUAGCAACCUUGGUUCGGGAUGUGUUGGCAACACCUGUUUCUAGUGUAGCCUCAUAAAGUGCUUUUAGCACGGGGGGGAGGAUUUUAGAUAUCUAUAGGAGCUCUUUGAGUCCAGAUAUGGUCGAAGCGCUUAUAUGUACUCAAAACUGGUUGAAGCCUUCUGACAAUGAUCUAAAUGUCCUUAAUAUGACUGAAGAAUAUGAGAUUAGUGAAUCAAUUGUUUCAGAGUUUCAAGUAGCUACUGGUGGAGCAGCUGCUCCUACACAGGCUGGGCCUGUUUAAUUCUCGCCUAGCUGUGAAUUUUUGAAUAUUUUGGAGUCACUUUGUGAUUCAAUAAGACAAGCCUUUCUUUUUUGGAGUCAUUUUUGAAACUAAGGAUGGAACCGUUUCAGUAGCUACUGCGUUUGCUGGUCAUCAGGCACGUUGUCUUGGGCUUAUGCAAUUGUUCUUACCGAAGUACACAAACAUAAUGUCACUUGUAUUUCUUUUGCAUUUGUGCUCAAGCUUACAAACUGAGUUUGAAUACUGCAUGUUAUGCUAAUCUGUUUUUGGUGGUGCAGUAUACUGGGAUGAUGUUACUUGAGGAGAUGGCCUGUGUAAUGUUCUCUUGCCUGUGUAAUACCACUAACCAAGACGUUUGAGCAUAUAAAUUUAGCUUUCUGCCUGAU